GACGAACGCUGGCGGCGUGCUUAACACAUGCAAGUCGAGCGGUAAGGCCUUUCGGGGUACCCGAGCGGCGAACGGGUGAGUAACACGUGGGUGAUCUGCCCUGCACUUCGGGAUAAGCCUGGGAAACUGGGUCUAAUACCGGAUAUGACCUCCUAUCGCAUGGUGGGUGGUGGCAAGAUUUAUCGGUGCAGGAUGGGCCCGCGGCCUAUCAGCUUGUUGGUGGGGUAAUGGCCUACCAAGGCGACGACGGGUAGCCGACCUGAGAGGGUGACCGGCCACACUGGGACUGAGACACGGCCCAGACUCGAACGGGAGGCAGCAGUGGGGAAUAUUGCACAAUGGGCGAGAGCCUGAUGCAGAGACGCCGCGUGAGGGAUGACGGCCUUCGGGUUGUAAACCUCUUUCAGCAGGGACGAAGCGAAAGUGACGGUACCUGCAGAAGAAGCACCGGCUAACUACGUG
rnacentral:rRNA from 1 species